rnacentral:rRNA from 1 species
AGAGUUUGAUCAUGGCUCAGGAUAAACGCUGGCGGCGCACAUAAGACAUGCAAGUCGAACGAACUUAACCUUAGUUACUAAUGGAGCGGUUAGUGGCGGACUGGUGAGUAACACGUAAGCAACCUGCCUAUCAGAGGGGAACAACAGUUAGAAAUGACUGCUAAUACCGCAUAUGCCUUGAGUAUCGCAUGGUACAAGAGGGAAAGGAGCAAUCCGCUGAUAGAUGGGCUUGCGUCUGAUUAGAUAGUUGGUGGGGUAACGGCCUACCAAGUCGACGAUCAGUAGCCGGACUGAGAGGUUGAACGGCUACAUUGGGACUGAGAUACGGCCCAGACUCCUACGGGAGGCAGCAGUCGGGAAUAUUGCGCAAUGGAGGAAACUCUGAACCGCAGUGACGCCGCGUGCAGGAAGAAGGUUUUCGGAUUGUAAACUGCUUUAGACAGGGAAGAACAAGGACAGUACCUGUAGAAUAAGCUCCGGCUAACUACGUGCCAGCCGCCGC